UGAAAGGUAUGCUGAGAUGGAUCCCAGAGU
rnacentral:piRNA from 1 species